AAGUCGUAACAAGGUUUCCGUAGGUGAACCUGCGGAAGGAUCAUUAGCGAAUUUCGACGCGAGUCGAUACACUUUCGGCUGUGCGCCUUCGGGCCGCACGCCGUCCACACACCCGUGCACGUUUCGGUGGGGGGUGACCCCCGCUGUAUUUUACACACUUUAUAAGUCUUGAAUGUCAUUUUUAUAACAAAUACAACUUUCAGCAACGGAUCUCUUGGCUCUC
rnacentral:misc_RNA from 1 species